rnacentral:lncRNA from 1 species
GCAUCUAGAACAUUCGCGACGUGUUUACAUUAGAACAUUCGCUACUGCUAUAUAAUCAUAAUUUAUAUUGUAUAUAAAUGUAUUUAUGUUUUACUAUAACAUUAAUUCCUUCUUACAACAAAGGUACAGUUGGCCAGUCUAAGUACUUCUUUCUUGCAUUGUUAAUUGGAUUAAGAUGUGCACACAUCAUUUCUUUCUACCUUUGUUUCUACCUGUGGUCAAGCACGCAUUCAUCACGGACAGGAUGCUUGCAGUCUGCACACCACGCUAGCAGCAACCAAUGAAAUAGUUCGAUUAAGUUCUGAUGAAACGGAACCGAUCGGUUAGCGUGGGUAGUCAUUUCAAUCAAGGAAGCGCUUGAAAUGCAUGAAACGGAUAUUUUCUUUUCGAUCAGGAUUUACAUUUGUAUUUGUAUCUUUUACUCUUUUUUAAAACUUUUUUCAAUCCUAGGAAAUGGAUUGUUGAUUUGAUUGAUAAAGAACUGAUGAAUAUACUAUGUGUGUUUGUGAAUUGAUUACCCUUAGAGCUAGUCUUACAUAAGAUACUGAACAGCGCCUCCAUUUGUCAAAAAGGUACAAGAGGCUCUAAACUAAGCACCACACCUAGACAAGGGUCCACUAGAUAUACCACAGGAUCUGUUACCAGAAACCUUACUACUGUCACCGAUUUCCUGACGUGAUUAUGCAUCAGAACAGCCAGCACAACCAUAUGUGUCCUGAAGUUCCUCUGACGUGCUUGUGCACCAGAACAACCAGCACAACCAUAUGUGUCCUGAAGCUCCUCUGAGGUGGUUGUGCAGCAGAACAAACAUAUGUGUCCUGAAGCUCCUCUGACGUUAUUGUGCACCAGAACAACCAUAAUUUUAUGUGUCCUGAAGCUCCUCUGACGUGAUUGCGCACCAGAGCAACCAUAUGUGUCCUGAAGCUCAUCAGACGUGAUUGUGCACCAGAACAACCAUAUGUGUCCUGAAGCUCCUCUGACAUGAUUGUGCACCAGAACAACCAUGUGUGUCCUGAGGCUCCUCUGUUACGGUUGUGCUGCAGAACAACUAUAUGUGUCCUGAAGCUCCUCUAUUACGGCUGUGCACCAGAACAACCAUGUGUGUCCUGAAGCUCCUCUGUUACGGUUGUGCACCAGAACAACCAGCACAACCAUAUGUGUCCUGAAGCUCCUCUGUUACGGUUGUGCAUUAUGAAUCAUGCGUUCCUAUAUUUGUAGUGACAUACCAAAACUAUGUUACACUGUUCCCGCACGCAGGGAAUAGUGAUUAAAAUGCUGUAAAACUUCUGUGUAUGUUGGGUUCACCCUAGUCGUAAGCGUUGGUACAAACUAUGGUGUGUAAGUUCAGGGAUCUAUAUCUUUUGUAAGAUCUAUGAUCAGUUUUGCUUUAUCCGUUAAGUGAUUUAAGACCUUUCCAAAAAUGUUUAAUAAUUUGUUGUAAUUGAAGAUGCAAACAUCUUAAGAAUUUACUGAAGGGUUAUAUGCCACAUUAGGGGUAACGGAGUUAUGACCCAGUCCAGAAAGUGCAAUAUUGUUUGACAUUUUGACCACGCACGGCCUUGACCUUGAAGAUAUGAUGCCGAAUUCUGUGCAAGGCAUUCAGCAAUGUUGUGAUUAAGAGUUGUGUCAAAGUAAAUCUGCUCAGAAGUAACAACUUACUGAAGGACAUGUACUAGUAAAUUGAUUUGACUUUUCUUGAAAGUAAUAUCUCGACAAGUGAUCAAUGUCAGAUAAUACGACGAGAAAAUGUGUUAUUAAGAAAUAUGUAACACAAAUGUGUCCAUUUAUUUUUUACGAUGUAAUAUGAUAAAUGUUUGUCGUGUUAAAGAUCAAGUAUUCUUUUACGCAAACAAGUUUUAAGCUGUUCUUAAGCAGUAAGGUUAUUUUUGUUACCUGUUAUACAUUGUCGCAAAUAAAUCAGAUAUACUGUUAUUACAUUUAACGAAGGUAUUCAUUAAUAUGUACUUCAGUCAUUUUAAAACCUUUUAAAUAAAUACAUUGUAAAUGAUAAUACUCAAACAACUAUAUCAAAUACUCUAAUGCUGUUUUGAAAAUGGAACAAAAUAUGCCGUGGAUUGUAGAAAACAGAUUGAACUGCAGUUUUGGUCACAGUGUGCCCUAAAGUAGAAGAAAAGCCUUGAAAAUCUGAAAUUAUUCUGAUCUGUCUGGAAAGUAUACGCUACGUGUACAUCUGUUCUGUCUCUGUAAACAUGUUUAAAGCCGAACUAUUCUCGGUUUUCAGUUGUACAGCUGAUCCCAUCUAUUUCAUCUUUUUUUUUUUGCCAGCUACGACGACGAAAUAAAACCCGAAGUUUGCUUAGACCCUUGAUGACAUCCUGCACUCAGUCCUUUUAUGAAAUUAUAAAACGUCAGUAAACGUAUUAAAUCAAUAAAACUUUUUCUCGCUUUGACA